GACGGCCAUUUCACGUUAAGACGCCCGUUCUCGUUCGAUCACCGAAGUUAAGCAACCUUGAAACUGUUUAGUACCCAGAUGGGUGACCUCUGGGGAAUACUAUGGGCUGUAAG